GCUGGAAGCUCGUCUAACCGCAGGACGGCGGACUCUGGAUCUGUCAAUCGGGGUUCGAAUCCCCGACUUCCAGCA
rnacentral:tRNA from 1 species